rnacentral:rRNA from 1 species
UACGGGGGGGGCAAGCGUUGUUCGGAAUUACUGGGCGUAAAGGGUUCGUAGGUGGCCAACUCAGUCAGACGUGAAAUCCCUCGGCUUAACCGGGGAACUGCGUCUGAUACUGGAUGGCUUGAGUUCGGGAGAGGGAUGCGGAAUUCCAGGUGUAGCGGUGAAAUGCGUAGAUAUCUGGAGGAACACCGGUGGCGAAGGCGGCAUCCUGGACCGACACUGACACUGAGGAGCGAAAGCCAGGGGAGCAAACGGG